rnacentral:rRNA from 1 species
AUUGAACGCUGGCGGCAUGCCUUACACAUGCAAGUCGAACGGCAGCACGGGUGCUUGCACCUGGUGGCGAGUGGCGAACGGGUGAGUAAUACAUCGGAACAUGUCCUGUAGUGGGGGAUAGCCCGGCGAAAGCCGGAUUAAUACCGCAUACGAUCUACGGGUGAAAGCGGGGGACCUUCGGGCCUCGCGCUAUAGGGUUGGCCGAUGGCUGAUUAGCUAGUUGGUGGGGUAAAGGCCUACCAAGGCGACGAUCAGUAGCUGGUCUGAGAGGACGACCAGCCACACUGGGACUGAGACACGGCCCAGACUCCGACGGGAGGCAGCAGUGGGGAAUUUUGGACAAUGGGCGAAAGCCUGAUCCAGCAAUGCCGCGUGUGUGAAGAAGGCCUUCGGGUUGUAAAGCACUUUUGUCCGGAAAGAAAUCCUUGGCCCUAAUACGGUCGGGGGAUGACGGUACCGGAAGAAUAAGCACCGGCUAACUACGUG